rnacentral:rRNA from 1 species
CGCUGGAGAACUGAGGGGGGCUGCUCCUAGUACGAGAGGACCGGAGUGGACGCAUCACUGGUGUUCGGGUUGUCAUGCCAAUGGCACUGCCCGGUAGCUAAAUGCGGAAGAGAUAAGUGCUGAAAGCAUCUAAGCACGAAACUUGCCCCGAGAUGAGUUCUCCCUGAGACUUAGAGUCUCCUGAAGGAACGUUGAAGACGACGACGUUGAUAGGCCGGGUGUGUAAGCGCAGCGAUGCGUUGAGCUAACCGGUACUAAUGAACCGUGAGGCUUAACCUU